AGCAGCCGCGGUAAUUCCAGCUCCAAUAGCGUAUAUUAAAGUUGUUGCAGUUAAAAAGCUCGUAGUUGAAUUUCGGGAUUUAUCCGUCGGUCGGGCUUUUGGGUCUGUACUGGCGUGAUGAAUUCCUACCUUCUGAAUAACCAGCAUGCCAUUAAUUUGGUGCGCCGGGGAAGCAGGACUGUUACCUUGAAAAAUUAGAGUGCUUAAAGCAGGCUAUUGCCUGAAUACAUUAGCAUGGAAUAAUGAAAUAGGACGGCAUGGUUCUAUUUUGUUGGUUUCUAGGAUCACCGUAAUGAUUAAUAGGGAUAGUUGGGGGCAUUAGUAUUCAAUUGUCAGAGGUGAAAUUCUUGGAUUUAUUGAAGACUAACUUCUGCGAAAGCAUUUGCCAAGGAUGUUUUCAUUAAUCAAGAACGAAAGUUAGGGGAUCGAAGACGAUCAGAUACCGUCGUA
rnacentral:rRNA from 1 species